GGUCGCUCGCCAGAGGCUUCGCGGGAUUCCCGCCUCCCUUCUGCUUCCCGCUUCGGGGCUCUCCCUCCGUCUGGCCCCUACGUGACCGUGACCGUGACCCAGGGCUCGCUGCUGGACUCCGGAAAACUGAGGCGAACACAGGUGGCUCCGGAAAGAUGGGGCCAGGCGUGUGUAACCGGAGAAGGAGCUUCGGGGAUAACUAGAGCGCAAAUAAGAUCAGACUUUCUUUCCUGCGUCUCUAGCUCCUCUUGGGGGCCAUCACUAGCCCAGAGUAACCUCGCUUUUCUGGGUUUAAGGGUAAAGCCAGGCAUGCUAAAUGUGCCUCUGGCUGAAGGUAUUAACUGGGGCUUAUUUUGCAGAAAACAUGGGCAGUUCUGAGCAACUCACAGAAUCUUAGCAGCUUCUGAAAUCCCACACUCAAUAAAGGAUUGAAAAACAAACACACCUUCUGUAUAUUUCAUUGAGGAGGUAAGUACUAUCUCAUUGAUUUAGUUUUGACUGUCCUUUGAAGAUUUAAAGGGAGAGAUAACACUCCAGAUUGACAGUAUUUAUUUGUUGUUGUUUUAACACAUUCUUGUUCUGAGCAUGAACUUUAAAAAAAAAUUUCCAGGUGCUUAAACAUAUUUUCCUGC
rnacentral:lncRNA from 1 species